UGGUGGAGUGAUUUGUCUGGUUAAUUCCGAUAACGAACGAGACCUUAACCUGCUAAAUAGCCAGGCCGGCUUUUGCUGGUCGCCGGCUUCUUAGAGGGACUGUCGGCGUCUAGCCGACGGAAGUUUGAGGCAAUAACA
rnacentral:rRNA from 1 species